AGGAAAAGAAACCAACAGGGAUUGCCUCAGUAGCGGCGAGUGAAGCGGCAAGAGCUCAGAUUUGAAAUCUCACCUAGUGUGCGAGUUGUAAAUUGCAGGUUGGAGUCUCGGGUUAGACGUGUGUGCAAGUCCCUUGGAACAGGGUGCCACUGAGGGUGAGAGCCCCGUAUCGUGCAUGUCGACACCUGUGAGGCCCUUCUGACGAGUCGAGUUGUUUGGGAAUGCAGCUCUAAGUGGGUGGUAAAUUCCAUCUAAGGCUAAAUAUUGGCGAGAGACCGAUAGCGAACAAGUACUGUGAAGGAAAGAUGAAAAGCACUUUGAAAAGAGAGUGAAACAGCACGUGAAAUUGUUGAAAGGGAAGGGUAUUGGGCUCGACAUGGGAUUUACGCAUCGUUGCCUCUCGUGGGCGGCGCUCUGGGUUUUUCCUGGGCCAGCAUCGGUUUUCGUUGCAGGAUAAGGA
rnacentral:rRNA from 1 species